rnacentral:rRNA from 1 species
GACAGAGGGUGCAAACGUUGUUCGGAAUUACUGGGCGUAAAGCGCGUGUAGGCUGUUCGGAAAGUCGGAUGUGAAAGCCCUGGGCUCAACCCAGGAAGUGCAUUCGAAACUCCCGAACUGGAGUCCUGGAGAGGAAGGCGGAAUUCUCGGUGUAGAGGUGAAAUUCGUAGAUAUCGGGAGGAAUACCAGUGGCGAAGGCGCUGUCCUGGACGAAGAUUGACGCUGAGGUGCGAAAGCGUGGGGAGCAAACAGG